UGGGGAAUAUUGGACAAUGGGCGAAAGCCUGAUCCAGCCAUGCCGCGUGUGUGAAGAAGGUCUUCGGAUUGUAAAGCACUUUAAGUUGGGAGGAAGGGCAGUAAGCGAAUACCUUGCUGUUUUGACGUUACCGACAGAAUAAGCACCGGCUAACGCUGUGCCAGCAGCCGCGGUAAUACUGAGGGUGCAAGCGUUAAUCGGAAUUACUGGGCGUAAAGCGCGCGUAGGUGGUUCGUUAAGUUGAAUGUGAAAGCCCCGGGCUCAACCUGGGAACUGCAUCCAAAACUGGCGGGCUAGAGUAGGGCAGAGGGUGGUGGAAUUUCCUGUGUAGCGGUGAAAUGCGUAGAUAUAGGAAGGAACACCAGUGGCGAAGGCGACCACCUGGGCUCAUACUGACACUGAGGUGCGAAAGCGUGGGGAGCAAACAGG
rnacentral:rRNA from 1 species